AUUGAACGCUGGCGGCAUGCCUUACACAUGCAAGUCGAACGGUAACAGGUCUUCGGAUGCUGACGAGUGGCGAACGGGGGAGUAAUACAUCGGAACGUGCCCGAGAGUGGGGGAUAACGAGGCGAAAGCUUUGCUAAUACCGCAUACGAUCUCAGGAUGAAAGCAGGGGACCGCAAGGCCUUGCGCCCACGGAGCGGCCGAUGGCAGAUUAGGGAGUUGGUGGGAUAAAAGCUUACCAAGCCGACGAUCUGUAGCUGGUCUGAGAGGACGACCAGCCACACUGGGACUGAGACACGGCCCAGACUCCUACGGGAGGCAGCAGUGGGGAAUUUUGGACAAUGGGCGCAAGCCUGAUCCAGCCAUGCCGCGUGCAGGAUGGAGGCCUUCGGGUUGUAAACUGCUUUUGUACGGAACGAAAAGACUCUGGUUAAUACCUGGGGUCCAUGACGGUACCGUAAGAAUAAGCACCGGCUAACUACGUGCCAGCCGCCGCCGUAAAAC
rnacentral:rRNA from 1 species